ensembl:rRNA 5S_rRNA 5S ribosomal RNA
GCUUACGGCCAUACCACACUGAGCACCUCCGAUCUCGUCCGAUCUCGGAAGCUAAGCAGUGUCGGGCCUGGUUAGUACUUGGAUGGGAGACCGCCUGGGAAUACCAGGUGCUGUAAGCU